CCAGACUCCUACGGGAGGCAGCAGUGGGGAAUAUUGGACAAUGGGGGGAACCCUGAUCCAGCGACGCCGCGUGAGUGAAGAAGUAUUUCGGUAUGUAAAGCUCUAUCAGCAGGGAAGAAAGAAAUGACGGUACCUGACUAAGAAGCCCCGACUAACUACGUGCCAGCAGCCGCGGUAAUACGUAGGGGGCAAGCGUUAUCCGGAUUUACUGGGUGUAAAGGGAGCGUAGACGGCUAUGCAAGUCUGGAGUGAAAGGUGGGGGCCCAACCCCCGGACUGCUCUGGAAACUGUAGAGCUAGAGUGCAGGAGAGGUAAGUGGAAUUCCUAGUGUAGCGGUGAAAUGCGUAGAUAUUAGGAGGAACACCAGUGGCGAAGGCGGCUUACUGGACUGUAACUGACGUUGAGGCUCGAAAGCGUGGGGAGCAGACAGGAUUAGAUACCCCAGUA
rnacentral:rRNA from 1 species